AUUGAACGCUGGCGGCAGGCCUAACACAUGCAAGUCGAGCGGAUGAAGGGAGCUUGCUCCUGGAUUCAGCGGCGGACGGGUGAGUAAUGCCUAGGAAUCUGCCUGUUAGUGUGGUAUAACGUCCGGAAACGGGCGCUAAUACCGCAUACGUCCUGAGGGAGAAAGUGGGGGAUCUUCGGACCUCACGCUAUCAGAUGAGCCUAGGUCGGAUUAGCUAGUUGGUGGGGUAAAGGCCUACCAAGGCGACGAUCCGUAACUGGUCUGAGAGGAUGAUCAGUCACACUGGAACUGAGACACGGUCCAGACUCCUACGGGAGGCAGCAGUGGGGAAUAUUGGACAAUGGGCGAAAGCCUGAUCCAGCCAUGCCGCGUGUGUGAAGAAGGUCUUCGGAUUGUAAAGCACUUUAAGUUGGGAGGAAGGGCAGUAAGUUAAUACCUUGCUGUUUUGACGUUACCAAAAGAAUAAGCACCGGCUAACUUCGUG
rnacentral:rRNA from 1 species